AUUCAAAACUACAAGAGGUUGUGAUGAUUGAACACUAUUUGAAUCGAAAUUGGGUUAAUACUUAAGUAGUAAGCUCAUUUACACAGGCUAGCCAACUCGAGCUCUAUAACUGAAGCUUGGGCUGUGUGUAUAAGCCUUUGGAAUGUCACCCAAUGGUUCCGCAGUUACAACCUUACACUUUGGCAAACCAGAAGACUUUUUGGCCAGAAAAGAGUGCUCGGAUAUACGUACGUGUUCAGGGCGCACAACUUAAAAAACACAUUGAUGCAACUUUGGGUAGUGGAUAUUUGACGGAAGUUGUUUGCCG